rnacentral:rRNA from 1 species
UACGAAGGGGGCUAGCGUUGCUCGGAAUCACUGGGCGUAAAGCGCACGUAGGCGGCUUGUUAAGUCAGGGGUGAAAUCCUGGAGCUCAACUCCAGAACUGCCUUUGAUACUGGCGAGCUUGAGUUCGGGAGAGGUGAGUGGAACUGCGAGUGUAGAGGUGAAAUUCGUAGAUAUUCGCAAGAACACCAGUGGCGAAGGCGGCCAACUGGUCCGGUACUGACGCUGAGGUGCGAAAGCGUGGGGAGCAAACAGGG